AUUGAACGCUGGCGGCAUGCUUUACACAUGCAAGUCGAACGGUAACAGGUUAAGCUGACGAGUGGCGAACGGGUGAGUAAUGUAUCGGAACGUGCCCAGUCGUGGGGGAUAACGUAGCGAAAGCUACGCUAAUACCGCAUACAAUCUGUGGAUGAAAGCGGGGGACCGUAAGGCCUCGCGCGAUUGGAGCGGCCGAUAUCAGAUUAGGUAGUUGGUGGGGUAAAGGCCCACCAAGCCAACGAUCUGUAGCUGGUCUGAGAGGACGACCAGCCAGACAGGGACUGAGACACGGCCCAGACGCCUACGGGAGGAAGCAGUGGGGAAGUUUGGGCAAUGGGGGCAACCCUGAUCCAGCAAUGCCGCGUGCAGGAAGAAGGCCUUCGGGUUGUAAACUGCUUGUGUACGGAACGAAAGGGCUCUGGUUAAUACCUGGGGUUUAUGGCGGUACCGUAAGAAUAAGCACCGGCUAACUACGUGCCAGCCGCGCCGUAA
rnacentral:rRNA from 1 species